UUGCGUAGGUGGCACAGAAAGCGGACAGUGAAAGCGUGUGGCUCAACCAUACAUCCAUUGUCUGAACUCCUAAGCUAGAGGACGAGAGAGGCAGAUGGAAUUCUUGAUGUAGGGGUAAUAUCCGUAGAUAUCAGGAGGAACACCGAUGGCGUAAGCAGUCUGCUGGCUCGUUUCUGACACUAAGGCACGAAAGCGUGGGGAGCAAACA
rnacentral:rRNA from 1 species